AUUGAACGCUGGCGGCAGGCCUAACACAUGCAAGUCGAGCGAGCGGCGGACGGGUGAGUAAUGUCUGGGAACCUGCCUGAUGGAGGGGGCUAACUACUGGAAACGGUAGCUAAUACCGCAUACAAUUAGAUCUGCCCAGAUGGGAUUAGCUAGUGGGUGGGGUAACGGCCCACCCAGGCAACGAUCCCUAGCUGGUCUGAGAGGAGGACCAGCCACACUGGAACUGAGACACGGUCCAGAGUCCUACGGGAGGCAGCAGUGGGGAAUAUUGCACAAUGGGCGCAAGCCUGAUGCAGCCAUGCCGCGUGUGUGAAGAAGGCCUUCGGGUUGUAAAGCACUUUCAGCGGGGAGGCGUUACCCGUAGAAGAAGCACCGGCUAACUCCGUGCCAGCAGCCGCGGUAAUUC
rnacentral:rRNA from 1 species